rnacentral:lncRNA from 1 species
CUUUUCACAAAUAUGUGAAAAACUAUUUGUUUUUAUUACCUGCUCCUCUAAGAUAGCUUCUGUGCAUUUUACUUCCCAUUAAGGAAGUUAUUUCUCUCUGAAACGCAAAUGGCAAAAAAAACGCAGUGGUUAAUAUAACGGGUAUGCCAACUUACUGUUAAAUAUAAUGGCAGGCAGCUAGCAUUCACAGGAACUAUACCAUAACUGCUGGGGAAUUCAAUUGUUUUAAUUUAUAGUGACAAACCCAUCCUCUUAGUUUCAAGCAGAGAAAUACCAAAUGAACCGCCUGAAAUUAAGAAUGGCAGUGAACAUGGUUGCUCACUUGGGGAAAGGGUUGCCUGCUGCAUAAGAAUUUUUAAACCAUGAGGCAUUGGAAGUAGGAAAGGAAGAGCAAUAGAAAAGUGUGACAGACUUGCAGAGAAUAAAUAAUGAAACUAGGGUAUGGUUUUGAUCCCAGAUUUCUGAAUUAGGUACUGAAAUAUUUCUCUGAAGUACAGGACCCAAACUACAUGAAAAUGUAGAAGUUCUUAUUCUUAUAGGAGUCGUGGCUCCUGACCCAGGGAACAACAGGGUACAUACACCUUGGAACACUGAAAUCUGAAGCACAAAUCAGAGUUUAGAAGCACAAUUUCAAGUGACAGAAACAAAGGCAAUGAAGAAUCCAUUCAUAAAAAUAAAAGAAGGUAGAAGAUUUCAUGGAACAAUUUCCAGCUCACUUAAGCUCUCAUAUUAUGAAGAAAAAUGUGCUGCUAGUACUGACAAGGAUGUGUAGCCAUAAUCAAGAGGAUGUCAAACAUGAAGAAGGCUGUGUUAGUGGUGGAGUGUUACACAUUUCUUGCUUACUUUACAUGUUGCUUUGAAUGAAUUGCAAGUAUAACUGUAAUAUCCCUUCUCAGGUAAGAUUCUGAAUACCUUCAUAUAGUCCUAUAACAUAUACUUAGUAGUAUUCUACAUAUUUUCUCACACUUAUUAUUGAAAACUAUUUCACAAUUUUGUCCUUUUUUAAAAUCUUGACAUUUCAACAUUUAAAUGAGC